rnacentral:lncRNA from 1 species
AAACAAGUAACAGCGGCACUCCUGUAGCUGCCACCACCCCAAGGACAUGAGGGAAGGGUCAUGCUGUGCUGCUGAGAGGCAGACAUCCCCCUCUGACAGGAGCCCGUAUGUGUAGGGGAACUGCCAUACUCAGGCAACUUUUGGCCUUACACGUGUGGAUGAAGACGCUUCCCUUGCAUUUCACCUGGAAGAUGCUCUGAGGUUCCAGCAUUAAGCAUGUUCCCUGCUCUGCUUUGACACACAUCGCCCUGCACGGCACAGAGCCUGGCCAGCUUCCUCCUCCCUCCUGGCUCCACGGGCCUCCCAGCAGGGAUGCAGCUCCAAGAUCACCAACACAGCUUCAGAAUUACCUGGGAGAACAGAAGAGAAAAGGCUCUGGAGAACAGAUGCAGUACAGCAGGAAACUUUGCCAUGAGCC